AGUAUUUGAUUUCCUUUGAACUGUGUUUUUCCAUGGGAUGUUAUUUUGAUUUUCUCGUCUUUUCAUCUGAUCUGAGUGUCUUGUCCCACCAUUAAUAUACAUAUAAGUGGAUUUUUCACGAUUCUCGGGAGCAGGAGAAGUGUGUGAGGAAAGUCUUCUUAGAUAAGUUUUCUUCGUAUUCCCUGUUCUUUCAUAUAUCGCAUUGUUCAAUAUAUCUGUUAUGUUUGGGUAUGAUUUGUUGACUUGAUCUAUGCAUUAUUGAAUUCAGUUCGAAUAUGUUCUUUAUGUUUUGGUUUGUGCGCUUUACGUUUCAUUUUUUAUUUCUCACUUCUUUCUUUGUGGGUGAGAAUAGUGUAAUUUCCAUUUCUGGUCUUUUCAUGUGAUCUCGGCUUCUUUGGCAAGCAUUUCUAAGCAUAUCACUGGAUUUUUCAGGUUUCUCGGAAGCAAGAGAAGUUUAUGAGGAAGUACUUCUUAUCUAAGUUUACUUCGUAUUCCCUUUUGUCUGCUAUAUCGCAAUUUUCAUUAUCUCUGUUAUGUGUUGGUAUUAUUUGUUGAUUUGUGUUAUUUUUUGUGCGCAUUUGUGUGUUGUUUUUUGUUUGUGAUUUCUUUGAUUUUGGGUGAGAAGAACUUGAGAGGAAUACCUUGUCGCUUCAGCCUGGAGAGCCUCAUCGGUGCCUGAAAUCCAAGUCAAAGUCGACUUGAACCACUCCAAUGGGACAGUCACUGCUGCUCGAUCGUCCCCAGCGAGAAGCCCUAAAGGUCUAUCCAUCCCCAAACUACCCUCCUCCGUUAAAAGGGAAGGGCCACUCAAUUUGGCCUGGCCUAAUCCACCUCUAUCUUCAACAGCCAGCCCAGUUACCCCCUGGUCCUUUUGCAACUCAACUGAGCCUUCCCUCACCAGCCCACUUGCCCUCUCUGAAUCCCCUGUAUCCUCCAAACAGGCCCUCCUACCAACUGGACUCCUCCUGCUACUGCCUCCAAAAUCUUCCCCAUCUGCAACUACUUUUUGAACAUAACAGUCCAAUCCUUCACCAAAACGGUUACUCUUCCCUCCAGAGUUUGACACGUCUCCCCUACCAGCCUGCAACAGGACGAGGUCUUUCUCCACACCUAUACGUGAACCACCACCGCCACCUCUAACCUUCGACUCUAGCGACCCAUUGCUGCAACUUCUCGGAACAACCAUGGAAAAUUUCGGGGGGACUUCCCACCACAACUGGAAGGGGUAGCACGUAAACCCAACCACUAGCUGCAAAGAAGCGGGUAGACUUCUCCCAUUCAACCUCACUAGGAUCCUAGCCCACUGUAAUUGAACCAAAUUCACCGAUCCUUCAUCCACUGCUACAAAGCCUCCACCACAACAGUCCCCAAUUUUAAUAAAGACUUCACGGCUCCACAAAUGCAAAGGAAGACCCAACACUCUCACCCACGCCUCCUUGUAAGACCCCUCCUUUACCAAACACCCAGUCGCGUGUUGCCAUCUUUCCAAACUGAGAAGUCUCUCCCUAAACCUCCUAGGUCCUCUAACCAACACCCUUCUGCCUCUAAACAAUCCUCAAACUCAAACAGAAUUAAAGACCCACCAAAAACAUACACCUGCAAGCCAAAUCUUAGUUACCAUGUACGCCUAGCCCACAUUUCCAAUGCCUGAACCUCUGAUUGCGAAACGGGUCCCUCUCCAAACUUCCCAACCAGGCACCUCCUAAGCUUCUCUUCUCUGCCUUGCACAACUCCUUCUCCAAUCUGAAGCCAAAUAGUCUCCUCCGCCAAACAUUCAUUCUUUCUUACUACACUCGCAUAAGACAUAUUCCCACUCCAAUCUUCCCACUUUCAGCCUACUGCCCCCAAACUCAACAGAAGGAUCCACCUUUUCCUCGGAAAAAGGAACAACCCCGAGCGAUCAUAGUUUUUCAGCCAAAAUGAACCAACCCCCAUGGUUUCCUUCUCCUUCCGGGAAAACCAGAGAGAAGCUCUUUGAUUCAGCUGUGACCACUUUGCAGAAUAAGAACCUUCCAACCCCAUUCUCCCGACAUUCCAGCCUGAAACACCUUCCUCUCUCCUUCCACCCUUUACUCCACCUCAACAACCCAUCAUCUCUGCAACAAGCUUUCGCUCCUGCCAAAAGGCAGCGUAGACUGAGCUCCCCGAAUCUGACCCACCUGGAGUAACCUCUUUCGUGCUCCACAAUGACCCCUCUCAGUCUCCCUCCAAGCUCCUCAACCGAGAUGUCAAAGGACUUGGACUCCACUGCAAACCAACACCUCUUUCCUUCUUCUCCCCUUGUUGACAUGUCCAUGAUUCAGUCUUACAAACAGACAAUGGUUUGUCACUUUUAUAGAUGAUUGUACUCGGGUAUAUUUCAACAAUACUGCUACUAACACUUCCUCCUCACCAAAAUGUUUCUCCUAUUCUUCUCUAUCAAUGUUGUCAAUUGACUUAAAGAACUCAACCUCAACAUCUAGCCUCCCAAUUUGAAGGUCCUCAAACACAUAGCCUAAAAGAACCAAAUUACCCCUGCACUCCACCUCACCCUUAACCCACGAAAUAAAAUUACUUCUCUGAUGAGCAAUUAGCCAUGUAGUGGAUGAAUAUCAUGCUUUUGUCUCCUUAAUUUUUGCUUAUAUUUUUCCAUUAAAGACAAUAUAAUACUGGUGAGUUAAUUCAUCUUAUUUGACUAGUUUAUAUUGUACAUUCUUCUAUACCUAUUGAUUGUAAUUCUAGUUGAAAGUACCAUUCCAGCCUUCUUCCUACCUCCUUUUUAAUAGGCUCAAGAUCCAAUCCUCCAUAUUGGUAUAACUAGUAAUAUAUUCAAUGUAUUUAGAUAAUACAAUAAGAUAGUGGUUCUUUAUGGAGAGUGUUUUAGUACUACCUCAAUUAAAUUAAAGGUAAAGAAACGACUCUUAUUUGAAGGUAUGGUCCCUUCAAAGUUCUUGUGAAUUAUGUGUACUUUCAUUUUAGAGAGAUCAGCGGGUCUAGCAGUGAGUAAGCACUAGGUGAAGAAUUCAGGAGGUUCAGGGAGUCAACAAAUUGUUGAUAACUUGGGUUUACAAAUUUUCAUUUUACUUAUGUAUUGGGAAGUAGUUGUUGUAUUUUCAGAUGAGAGGGCUGGAGAAGGAAAAUUAUUCAUCCUUCAACACCAUAUGUCAUAUUUGUAUGUACUUAUGUAUGUCUCCAUGUAUGUUUGUAUCAAUGUAGGUACAUAUUUAUGUAUGUCAGUAGGAAAGUGAUAUCACCUUUUUCCCAAACAAAUUUAUGUGCUGUUGUUGUAUAUGAUAUCAGAUCAUAUACAACAUUCUCUGCAUCAUCUGAACUUUUUUCUAGUGCAUGACACUUACUGAGGUGGUGCACAUAGUGUUCUUCUCCAAUGUCCUUGUUUGUUUCAUUGAACAAGGGUACAGGGACAUCUCUAAUGUGUAUUUCCUUCCUUCCGCCAAUAAACAAAUAUCCCUUUUGUCAAUCUCGAUAUUAUCAUUUUACAUACACCUAUUUGUAGUUUAGGUUUUUAUUCAAUACUUUGCUCUAUAUCUGUGUUGUUUACCAAGAAAUCAGUAGUGCUCUCAUAUAGGCAUUUCUCCUCAUAUAUAUGUUGAUGUUGACAAGGAGACAAAUAACUCCCCCUUUUUCAGCUAUAACUGAAGGAUUUUAUACUGAAAUUUUAGAACAUGUAUAAAAUUUUGCAGUUGAAUGAGUUAAAAACUUCAUAUUCAACCUUAUUUGAUGGUAGAUAUCUUUGUUGCUUGGUUCUGUCAUCUGUGGAUAAUAGAAAUGAUGUGCCAUGUUUUAUUGUCAACCCUUUAUAAUAAAUCCUUUUGGAAUAUGUUACAGAUUGAAGUGAUAUUGAAAUUUGAAGAAAUGUGUUUGGAAUCUGCCAAGGAAUUUUCUGCAUGAUUUGCCCAGAUUUUGCAUCUUCUGUAUGACAAAGACAUCUUGCAAGAAGAUGCUCUUCUCAAAUGGGCAUCUGAGGAGGGUGCAGAAGAAUCAAAUAGAGUUUUUGUUAAGCAGUCAGAAAAAUUCAUCCAAGCAUUUUUCUCUUUAUUCAUGAUAUGUUCAUUAUAAUCAGUCAUGUGCACACACCCCCCCAGAAGAUCCAUCUUCAUGUUGCAAGCAAGGUCAUAUUUGCAAACUAAGUGGUAUGUAUCCAUAUAUAUUCAACAUGGCAGAUAGAUACUUCCAUGUAGGAUAUUCAUGUGAUCUUGAAAGCACAGUUGUAUUUAUGCAUCUUCUUUCAUAUAGUUGUAUGGCAGGUUGGGGAAAAACAUUUUGUCCAUCUCUGAAUUUUGAUGGAGCUUACUAUCAACCCUGGAGGAAAAAAUGAGUUGUUUUAUUGAUCACAAGUUUUUGUGAUAGGAUUUUUCCUAAUCUAUGGAAGGCUUGUCAAAUGUUUUUGAACUCGGCUUCCAUGUUCUCUUCUAUGUUAGAAUUUUAAUUUCACUAAAAUUUGGCUAGUAAGUGUUGAAACGUAAUUAAAAUUGUAAAAUGCAUGCUCCAAACUUGUACUAAUUUCUGAUCAUAAGGUCCUUGAAACAAUUAGGGGAUUGAUGGUCCAGCAUCCAUUGCCGGACAUUGCUACUACAAAGACUCUUGAAGGCAUGCCAAGUAUAUAGGUACAUAUGGGGAGAUAGGUGGCUAAUCAUGGUAAGUAGCAUUUGGGAUAUGUUUAAUAUUUUGUCUUGAUUGUGAUUAUUUAGCAGCCUUCUUAUAAGAUGUAAUAAUGUAAUAAAUCUUUCAAUCCCUGACCCAUGAUGACCUCAAUGCCAAAGGAGUUCAUUCUCAACAAGUGUUGAGAUGCUCCUAGAUUACUGCUGAGAUACUUAACAAAACACGCAAUCUAAAGAGAGCCUUUUAUCUUCA